GACGAACGCUGGCGGCGUGCCUAAUACAUGCAAGUAGAACGCUGAAGGAGGAGCUUGCUUCUCCGGAUGAGUUGCGAACGGGUGAGUAACGCGUAGGUAACCUGCCUGGUAGCGGGGGAUAACUAUUGGAAACGAUAGCUAAUACCGCAUAACAGUAGAUGUUGCAUGACAUUUGCUUAAAAGGUGCAAUUGCAUCACUACCAGAUGGACCUGCGUUGUAUUAGCUAGUUGGUGGGGUAACGGCUCACCAAGGCGACGAUACAUAGCCGACCUGAGAGGGUGAUCGGCCACACUGGGACUGAGACACGGCCCAGACUCCUACGGGAGGCAGCAGUAGGGAAUCUUCGGCAAUGGACGGAAGUCUGACCGAGCAACGCCGCGUGAGUGAAGAAGGUUUUCGGAUCGUAAAGCUCUGUUGUAAGAGAAGAACGAGUGUGAGAGUGGAAAGUUCACACUGUGACGGUAUCUUACCAGAAAGGGACGGCUAACUACGUGCCAGCAGCCGCGGUAAUACGUAGGUCCCGAGCGUUGUCCGGAUUUAUUGGGCGUAAAGCGAGCGCAGGCGGUUAGAUAAGUCUGAAGUUAAAGGCUGUGGCUUAACCAUAGUACGCUUUGGAAACUGUUUAACUUGAGUGCAAGAGGGGAGAGUGGAAUUCCAUGUGUAGCGGUGAAAUGCGUAGAUAUAUGGGAGGAACACCGNNUGGCGAANAGCGGCUCUNNNGGCUUNNNAACUGNNCGCUGAAGGCUCNAAAAGCGUGGNGGAGCAAACNNGG
rnacentral:rRNA from 1 species